CCUGACUUCAUUUUGAAAUGCGG
rnacentral:siRNA from 1 species